rnacentral:rRNA from 1 species
CCUACGGGUGGCAGCAGUGAGGAAUAUUGGUCAAUGGCCGAGAGGCUGAACCAGCCAAGUCGCGUGAGGGAAGACGGCCCUACGGGUUGUAAACCUCUUUUGUCGGGGAACAAAGAGAGUCACGUGUGCCUCGUUGAGAGUACCCGAAGAAAAAGCAUCGGCUAACUCCGUGCCAGCAGCCGCGGUAAUACGGAGGAUGCGAGCGUUAUCCGGAUUUAUUGGGUUUAAAGGGUGCGCAGGCGGAGGUGCAAGUCAGCGGUCAAAUCCCGGGGCUCAACCCCGUACUGCCGUUGAAACUGCAUCCCUGGAGUGGGCGAGAAGUAUGCGGAAUGCGUGGUGUAGCGGUGAAAUGCAUAGAUAUCGCGCAGAACUCCGAUUGCGAAGGCAGCAUACCGGCUCGCAACUGACGCUCAUGCACGAAAGCGUGGGUAUCGAACAGGAUUAGAUACCCGUGUAGUC